rnacentral:rRNA from 1 species
UACAGAGGGUGCAAGCGUUAAUCGGAAUUAUUGGGCGUAAAGCGCAUGUAGGUGGUUAUGUAAGUUUGAUGUGAAAUCCCCGGGCUUAACCUGGGAAUUGCGUUGAAUACUGCGUAACUAGAGUCGGACAGAGGGUAGUAGAAUUUCCGGUGUAGCGGUGAAAUGCGUAGAGAUCGGAAAGAAUACCAGUGGCGAAGGCGGCUACCUGGGUCCAGACUGACACUGAGGUGCGAAAGCGUGGGGAGCAAACAGG